GUUCAGUCGCCGAGCCCUCGGGACGCCAGCGCGCUACGCAGUUGACGAAGACCUCUGAGUCGCGCAGCAAGCCGUCCCUCCGAAGCCGAGCCUUCAGCCUGCGCCAAGCGAGCCCAUCAUGGAGGUCAAGUGCGCGUUGCUCUGCCUGGCCCUCGUGCUCGCCUCGGCCUCCGCGCUCACUGCUGGAAGAAGCCAACCAAGACGCAGCAAGAGGCAGUUGUCUUCAUCCAGCCACAGCGUCCUUCAGUGCGCCGAGUUCUGCAUGGUGAAGGUCUCGCCCGAUCGCUGCGAGUUGGACUUCCGAUGCGUUUUCCGCAGGCAUUUACGUGCACGGAAGCCCCAGGAUCGUCGGUGAUGCCGUGGGGUUUCACUGCAGGUGGAGCCGGAGUGGAGGGAAACGCAGGCCUUGACGGAAACAACUCCUGUAGAAUCAUUUGUAAAAAAAAUAAAGGAUUUCAUGCAAA